UGGGGAAUUUUGGACAAUGGGGGCAACCCUGAUCCAGCCAUGCCGCGUGAGUGAAGAAGGCCUUCGGGUUGUAAAGCUCUUUCGGCCGGGAAAAAAUCGCAUGGGUUAAUACCCUGUGUGGAUGAUGGUACCGGAAUAAGAAGCACCGGCUAACUACGUGCCAGCAGCCGCGGUAAUACGUAGGGUGCGAGCGUUAAUCGGAAUUACUGGGCGUAAAGCGUGCGCAGGCGGUUUUGUAAGACAGGCGUGAAAUCCCCGGGCUCAACCUGGGAACUGCGCUUGUGACUGCAAGGCUAGAGUACGGCAGAGGGGGGUGGAAUUCCACGUGUAGCAGUGAAAUGCGUAGAGAUGUGGAGGAACACCAAUGGCGAAGGCAGCCCCCUGGGUCGAUACUGACGCUCAUGCACGAAAGCGUGGGUAGCAAACAGG
rnacentral:rRNA from 1 species